GAAGGAGGAGAAGGAAGAGGAGGAGGGUGCGGACGGAACAAGGUGAAGAGCCAGGGCAUCUCCUGGCAGUGUGGAUAUCUGAGGGCCGGGCAGGGGGGCAAGGGGCUCGAGGCCCAGGCACCAACCAGUCAGCCUCUCCCUGGCCUCUUCCCCACAGCCACUGCGGCUUCCAGUCACAGGGCCAGAACAAGGCCCUGUCGGAAGUGCUCCCAGCCUGUCCUGUCCGUCCCAGACCCCAGUCUGGGUGGUCUGGGCUCACUGCAGGGGUCGGGGCCUGACACCUCUGAUCCGAGGCCAUGGGGGGUGGGGAGGAACGCCCCUACAUGCUGCACCCUCAACUGGGCGCAGAGGCGACCUGAGGCAACGCUUUCAAGUCCAAGAGGAGGAGCCAACUCAGGGUGCGGGGCAGGGCUACAGACAAGGGCGGGAAGGGGCCGCGGGCACUCAGCAGAUGGGUAAGGCUGGGCCACUCGUGCCUCACGGAGAAGCCUGGGCGUCCCAAGAACGAGUCCUUGAGAAAAAGAACCGCGACACCUCGCGGGGACGGCCACAGGCACAGGAGGAGGAAGAGAAGGAAGAGGAGGCGGGUGGCGGGGAGGGGCGGGCGGAGGCUCCCGGCCCGGGCGGGCGGGGCCGGCCUCAGGCGGAGCCGGCACCGAGGCCGGAGGGCGGGGCCCGGGCGGCUCACCUGCAGGUUGGUGAGCUGCUGUUGCUGGUGCGCGAUGGUCUGCUUCACCAGCACGCUCUUGAUGCUCUGCUCCAUGGCGUACUUCUUGGCCUGCGGGAGAAGGUGGUGAGGAGCACUGGGGGGCCCGGCCUGCGGGAGAUGCGCUUUCCUCCGCCACCUGCUCCCCGCCCCCGCUGUGUCCUGGUUCCCCAGCAGGUACACUCUCACCUUCUGGAGGGCCUCUUGCUGCUCGGGCGUCAGAGGAGGCAGUCCCAGCUUCGCGGUUGUGUUCUGCCCGUUCUCCAUCUUGAUGGAGUCCGUCCCCUGGUAGUGGGGAGCGGGAAAUCAUUAAGAAUAAGCUCAAGGCCACCCCACGUGGCCCCAGGAACCCCACCCCACGUGCCUCCCCCUACACCUGCACGUGGCCUCGGGCCCAGUCCGUUCCCAGGGACAGACAGCUCCUAGUCACAGGCUGUCCCUGGCCUGGCCUAGAUAUGCGUCUGCCCCUCUGCCAUCCCUGUGCCUGUCCCUAGUCAGACCUCUCCCAAGACUCCUGAGCAGGACACACGCUGAGGAAGGCAGGCCACCACAGCCCCAAGGAGGACUCCAGUCCCCUGGGAAGAGAAGCCAGGAGCAGACCAACCACAGAAGAAAAGUGGACCUGCCAGCACCCUAGCCAGGAUCCAAGCUGCAUAUCACGGCCAAACGUCCCCUGAGUGUGUGGGGGCCCGCAGGAGGGUCCCACUCCAGCAGGCCCCCAGGCCACCUUGUUGAGCCCCCACUGGAACCCGCUGGGGGCAGGCGCUGCCAUGGAGAAGCACAAAGAACCCUACUGCCCAGGGACAAGGACUGGCUCCACCUCCUAUAGGACAAGCUCUCAAGGACAAAGAAACCGGAGCAGGACGAGAUCUGCCCAGACCCACUCUGCAGUCUGGCCCGAGUCCCAUGCAGACCCCAUGCUCUGACUUACACAUGUUCUGCUUCGCUAUUUUAUCUAAAUUCGAGGUCUGAAGUGAAAAUCUCUGUUUCUGGCUCUUAACACCCAUCACACUCUGAAACGGCACAUCUGCCCUCUUCUAGGACACCCGUGGUGAAGGGCUUGCAGUCGCUCUGGGUCAGCCCCCAGCUAACCAUCAUCACUAUCUGCCCGACGUCUGAAGACACAAGGCUGUGACCCACCACAAAAGCAGGGCAGAUGCUAAGGGAAGAGCCAGGCCUGAGGCCGGGUGGUGAGGGGACAAGACAGGCGCCUGCACCCAGAAGGUAGAGAAGAGUCCCUAGAGCUCCUCCCACCCCACCCCCACCUCUCUAGGCCCAGGGACACGCAGGCGGGCGG